GACUUGUGACUUGGCCCUUUUGCCUGGCAACAGAACACGCUCUGGCAGAGCCAAGGCUGUUGCUCAUUCCCCUCUAGUCCUCAGGUCUGGCUUAGGUAGGACAGCUGUUUUGAUGAACUAAGGAUUAGCCACUCAAUUCUCCUUUAAGGAUUCCUACCAGGGUGUAUAUUUUUCAGCAGUAUGCAUUUAAAGUGAGAAUUAGGGACUCUCAGGAAUUUAAGAAACAGAACAUUUUUCAAACAUAUGAAAGGAGGGCAGAUUCAGAAAACCAUACAUAGUAAAUAUAUAGCUUCGUGAAUUACUCUGAAGCACUCUUGUAACCAUCACCAAGUUAAGAAAUAAGACUGCAAUUUACCCCGGAAGCCCUGUCAUUAUGUCCUACUUGAAUCACAGCCCCUCUCACCCCCUGCUGGUAAGGUGCUCCGUCCUUCCAAGGAAGCUGAGGAGGCCCUCACUUCACCUGGCAACUAGCACCACUCCCGGCAGCGCUCACCCACCCAGCACCCGCCCACACCAAGGCCUCCAUCUCGGAGCUGCAUCUACCCGGCUACUAUCCUGCACGAUGGCCCUUCUCCCGCACGACGACGCGGAGCCAGUGAUGGAGGAUAAGAUCAAUGCCCUCAUCAAAGCAGCUGGAGUAAACGUUGAACCUUUCUGGCCAGGCUUGUUUGCAAAGGCUCUGGCCAAUGUCAACACUGGGAGUCUCAUCUGCAAUGUAGGGGCAGAUGGACCUGCCCCAGCAGAAGAUCCUGCCCCCUCCACCACUGCUGCCCCAGCUGAGGAGGAGAAAGUGGAAGCAAAGAAAGAAGAAUCUAGAGUCUGAUGAUGUCACGGGCUCUGGUCUUUUGACUAAAUUUCUUUUGUAACACAUUCAAUAAAAAACUAAACUUUGA